GUUCCGAGGGGUGCCUUCAUGGCGUAAGGCUGAGAGGAUGGCUAUUCGUUCAUCCAACCCUUUGAACCUGAUCCGGUUCGUACCGGCGAAGGGACAGGACA
rnacentral:ncRNA from 1 species